GGAAAAGUGUCUGCAGAUGCCAAAACAAAGAAAUGGUCAUCUUCCACCAGGAAUGUUUUCUACGCAAGGGUAGAAAAAUAUUAUUAUUAUUAUUAUUAUUAGAAGUGUGGACUAGCCUUGACUACCCCUAGAGAGAGAAAGGAAGUUGAGAUGAAGGGAAAGAGAGAGAACAAGAGAGAUGAAAGGAGGGAGAAAGAAAGGGGGGGGAAGUACCCUGCUGUUCUCAUGUCUCCCCAUUUAAACCCUGCUGUUUCCUGUCAUGUCCGUCUGUUCUGUUCCCCAGGAGUUUGGCUUGGCCCGCUUCAAGAGCAACCAGGUGAAGGCCAUGAAGGGCCUGGAGUACGCUCUGUCUAACUUACACGGAGAGGCACCCCAGCGCCAGCCCUGCGUCCGGGACACAGUGAAGACUGCUACAGAGAAAGCCAAGACCCUGGCCUCGGCCGCCGCCCCGCAGAAACAGCCCCAGCAGUACGUGUGACAACAGGGGAACAUCCACUGCCACCGGCUGGAACGGGACACUGUGCACGCAGUGGCAGGCACAAGCAACACAUUCACAUGCAACACACAGGCUGGCCAAUUCUGAUCUUUUUAAGAGCUGAUCUGAUUGGUCAAAAGACCAUUUUGUAAGGAAAAACACAUCAGAAUUGAGCUGUGCAUGCACACUCUUUUAGCUGCCUUUUCAUUGACUGGAAGCUUGCUUGUAUCAAGGUCUCGGUGUACAGUAUGUGUACAAUAUGUCCAUCUAAACCACUAAAAAAGCUCUGCUCCUCUGGGGUUAGGUUAGGCUCUGCUCUCUGGGGUUAGGCUCUGCUCCUCUGGGGUUAGGCUCUGCUCCUCUGGGGUUAGGCUCUGCUCCUCUGGGGUUAGGCUCUGCUCCUCUUAUUUUCAUUAGCAUAGCAUUAAUACGUCUCAGGUACUGAGCCCCUGUCUGUCUGCCUGCCACAACCUAGGGACAUGUUCAAUAGGCCCCAAAUGCGAGAAAAUGUUCUCAAACCGAGUGAAACCGAGAUAAAAGUAUGUGGACAGCCCUUCAAAUGAUUGGAUUUGGCUAUUUCAGCCACCAAUGUUGCUGACAGGUGUAUAAAACCAAGGACAGUCAUGCAAUCUCCAUAGACAAACAUUGGCCUUACUGUAGAGCUCAGUGAUUUAACGUGGCACCGUCAUAGGAUGCCACCCCUCCAUCAAGUCAGUUCGUCACAUUUCUGUCCUGUCAACGAAGUGCUGUUAUUGUGAGGCGGAAACGUCUAGGAGCAACAACAAGCUCACAGAAUGGGACUUCCGAGUUCCAAACUGCCUCUGGAAGCAACGUAAGCGCAAUAAUUGUUCGUCGGGAGCUUCAUGAAAUGGGUUUCCAUGGUUGAGCAGGUGCACAAAAGCCUAAGAUCACCAUACGCAAUGCAAAGCAUCGGCUGGAGUGGUGUAAAGCUCGCUACCAUUGGACCAGCGGAAAUGCAGUCUUUGGAGUGAUGAAUCACGCUUCACGAUCUGUCAGUCUGACGGACUAAUCUGGGUUUGGCGGAUGCCAGGAGAACACUACCUGCCCAAUGCAGAGUGCCAAAUGUAA
rnacentral:lncRNA from 1 species